UACCAGCACCCCGAGUGGUCGGGACGAUUAUUGGGCCUAAAGCAUCCGUAGCCGGUUUUACAAGUCCUCCGUUAAAUCCAGCUGCUUAACAGAUGGGCUGCGGAGGAUACUAUAAGACUAGGAGGCAGGAGAGGCAAGCGGUACUCAGUGGGUAGGGGUAAAAUCCGUUGAUCCAUUGAAGACCACCAGUGGCGAAGGCGGCUUGCCAGAAUGCGCUCGACGGUGAGGGAUGAAAGCUGGGGGAGCGAACAGG
rnacentral:rRNA from 1 species